GAUGAACGCUGGCGGUGUGCCUAAUACAUGCAAGUCGAGCGAACAGACGAGGAGCUUACUCCUCUGAUGUUAGCGGCGGACGGGUGAGUAACACGUGGAUAACCUACCUAUAAGACUGGGAUAACUUCGGGAAACCGGAGCUAAUACCGGAUAACAUGUUGAACCGCAUGGUUCAACAGUGAAAGACGGUCUUGCUGUCACUUAUAGAUGGAUCCGCGUCGCAUUAGCUAGUUGGUAAGGUAACGGCUUACCAAGGCAACGAUGCGUAGCCGACCUGAGAGGGUGAUCGGCCACACUGGAACUGAGACACGGUCCAGACUCCUACGGGAGGCAGCAGUAGGGAAUCUUCCGCAAUGGGCGAAAGCCUGACGGAGCAACGCCGCGUGAGUGAAGAAGGUCUUCGGAUCGUAAAACUCUGUUAUUAGGGAAGAACAAAUGUGUAAGUAACUAUGCACAUCUUGACGGUACCUAAUCAGAAAGCCACGGCUAACUACGUG
rnacentral:rRNA from 1 species